GUGUGAGUGGUUCAUGUUGGCAGGCAUGUAAGUUUCCCACGUCUCGAAGUUCUGCAUUUCUCAAAAACAUUAAGCAACCUGACCGCAGAGAUAAGAGAGAAGAAACAAACCAAAAACAAUGACAUGGCAUUUUCCAUCCUCUCUUAUAAUUAAUUUGGUUCUCUUCAUCCUGUUCAGUUAAACUGCCUCGUGGGUUCACAGGUUAAUGCAUUCCUGUUCCUUCACUACACCUGCAGACUGUGUGACGUCCUCAGUGCUCAUAGAGAUCAACUGUUAUUCUCUUCUUAAUUUAAAUGCUCUUUUCUGGUGUCAGUGUUAUAUUGGCAGUGAAACAAAUGUUUAACCGAAGUGUCUUUUAACGUGUAUACUUUUUUAAAACAAUACAACUUUUGUGUGCAGUGGGUGUUACAGGGUUUGGCUCAUCAUGCAUAUUAAUCGUCUAAAGAGGAAGUAAAUCUUGUCUCUUAACAGCCUGAUUUCCGUAUUCUGCUCAUUGGUGACAGAGGAAAGGCAUCUUUCAACACAUGGUUCCUCCUUCACUUCUCACAGAGAUGAGAGGAGCAGCUAUGAGUCUAACUGCAGCAGCGAGUGGAUUAGUUGUCUUCCUGCUCUCUGUGUCAGUGGUUCAGGGUCAGGAUGAGUGGGGAGUGGCUUACACUUCUACUGAGAUCUGUGCAGUGACAGGAUCAACAGUG